GUUGCUGCAGUGAGCUGAGAUCACACUACUGCACUCCAGCCUGGAUGACAGAGCGAGACCACAUCUCAAAAAAAAAAAAAAAAAAAGGAAAAGAAAAGAAAAAGAAAGUCACUUGGAGCAAUGUUUGAAAAAUUAAUAUCAAUUCUUUCCUUUCAGAUUUUGAAAUCAGAAUGGACACUAACAGGAAUCAAGUGCUACCACUUUCUGAUGUGGAUACAACUUCUGCUACAGAUAUUCAAAGUAGCCUUGUAUAGUGGAAUAUCUGCAGAGGCCAAGUAAAAGAAGUGAAGGACUAAGACAGGAAUAUCAAGGAUUGUGGUCGGUGGAGAGCUCAACUUGGAAAUCUCCAGAGAGCAAGAAUGCAGCAAGACUAAAUGGUCAAUAACUGGGAGAUGGACAAACUAGAGAUGGAAGAUGCAGUCACAUUUUUGAAGACUAAAAUCUAUUCAGUAGAAGCUCUUCCUGUUGCUGCUGUAAAUGUGCAAAGCACACAAUAAAGUGAAAAUCAACCUUUUCAUAUUAGGAGACAUGCAUUUGUAAAAAUUAAUAAAGAUGACAAGUCAGUUGUCAAUGGAAUUGAGCUAUCUGCUAAGACAAAAAAUGUUACCUCAGUUCACUAUUAAAAUUAAUUUUAGGAGUGGAAGAAAUGUUACUGCCAUUUUAAAAUAUGCUGAGAAAAUUC
rnacentral:lncRNA from 1 species